GACUGAAUUCUUUUGGGAUCCUCCCUUAUGGGGAGCUCUGCUUAUCUCAGCUCUUGUGAUUUGAUGAAAACUCCCCAGCUCGUCAGAAUCUUGUUUCUCGUGUUUAUUGGAAGGUCUACUUCUUUAUUCUGAGCUUUUGGGAAAUCAUUGUGGCAUUUAGAACACAAAAUACCCUUAGACCCUGUAUUUUCUGACACUGCUGGAACACUGAGGGAUUUACAGCAGUCACAAUGAGGCGAAGCUCAAGUAUUGCUGGAAGCAGCAGCCAACAAUCUAUGAUGGCACUGAGAGUGGAGGACAGCAACAAGAUGGGUCUUCAAACACCUCAGAUGAAGGACAGAGGCACCCUUGGGAAGCGGACCAUGAGCAAAGCUACAUCUGGAGCUUCAGAAGGAAAAGCCAGCUGUUCUGGGAACACAGCGAGUGGGGCUGGAGGGUCCCGCAGCAGCCAGCACGGUGUGUUUGGGACAGAAAAGAUAAAGGAUCCCAGGCCCCUUCAUGACAAAACAUUCAUCCAACAAUGUAUCAAGAAGCUU